UCCUUAUUCUACCCUACCUUUUCCUAUUUCCCCUACCCAUGCUCUUCUCCUCGCCGAACCUUCCUCCCCUCUUCUCCUCGCCGAAUUCCUCUGCUCAUCUCGUGCCGCCACCUUCGAUCCUUCUCCUCUUAUGUUCCGAGCCGCAUGCCACGACCAACACCUCUCCUCUUCUCACUGUCGGCCGAGCUUCUUCCUCCCUCGGAGUCACCUUCGGCCAGGGAGAGGUUCUGUGCCCUAGCCUCUCCCUCGUGCAACGCCGAAGCCACCACUGUCCCACACUCGACGUCGUCUCCACCUCCUCUGCCCUAUCACCGGCUGCCGACCCUUUCCUUGUGCCCUAGUGUCGGUCGUCUACUGUCCCUCUGCCCUAGCACCGGCAACCCUAGCUCGAUCCAUUCCACCUCGUGCCCUAGUUCCUGGUGCUGGCCCUCUUCAGCGCCGCCAACCAUAGAGCUCCGACGCCGACAGCUACGAGCUUGAUCGCCGACGCCGAGUUACCUUGGCCCUCUGCCCUAGCUUGGUUUCACCGAUUCUUCCUUGUUGUUGAUUGAGGUCUCGGUUGAAGUGGGAAAGAUUCCAGCAGGGAGAUUGUGCUCUGUGGGGGUGUUCUUGGUUCUGACAUCAAUUCCAUCCAGCAGCUCACAUUGUCCCUGCAACAACAGCGGCUGUGAAUUGAGGACUCUGAUUUGAGACGAGCAUCUCGAUGUCGGAUUUAGCUUGAUUGAAUCUUCUAUUUGAGGCAGGUACUUCUGACUUAUCUCUUGAUAUAGUCAUGUUAGAUGUGCAUAAUAGUUUAUUUCUAAUGGUAAUGAUUAUGUUUACAUCUGCUUUGAUAUGCCACUAUCUGUUUCCUGUUGUCUGCCUAUAUUCCUAUCUGUAUGUAUUCCUACUUAUAUUUUCUUUGAUUACCGCCAUGUGUAUCCCUGUUCAUAGAAAUAGUGACUUACAUUGCUUACUGUGUAGUAGUCUUGUUGUUCGUCAUAUCUGAUUUGUGUACUUAGGUUUUGAUACCUAGCCCAUCGUAUGGUUUAUUUCUUUCUAGUACAUUUUAUAUUGAGGUGUAUACUGUCUAUAUCCACAUGUUUAGUGUCAUGCACCAUCUUUCAUGAUUGCAUGCUAGCGAUGGUCGGCUCCAUUAUUGUUGAGCGCAUCGCCAGUUACAUGGUCUACACACACAACCACUCAUGAGUUAGUGGUACAUCAGGCAGGGUGUGUGCAGUCUACUCUGUCAGGGCUCCGCUGGUCCGCUCCUGGGUAGUGAUGACUGCAGCGUGUAGUGGACAUGGAUCCCUCCCCUAUGAUAUAGGGAGAUGAGAGCUUAGGCUCCCCCACUAUGUUUGAGGUAGGAGGAUAGGUGUACUCUGACAGCAUCCUAUCCACUCGGUCACUCAGUAGCAGUGAUGGAAGAGUGCACAGUUGUCAUAGCCCUACCCACUCGAUCUCACCAUCGCGUGUAAGAUGGCCGACUGACGUCAGAGGUGACACAUGUCAUGUUUGCACCAUAUGCAUAGAUUGCAUUUAUUAUUUGUGAUUGCUGUAUUUUGGAUGCUGCAUUUGUUUGGGUUGCAUAUGUUUGACAUGCAUACAGGUGAUAUUUUAUAUCUAGUCUGACGACCCUUAUAUUCAGAUAGGAGGUCUUGGUGAGUACAAUUUUCUUCAGUCUUUUCAGUUUGCAUUUCCUAAUUUUGUUCGGAAAACUGUACCAUAUGAUGAUUACUGCUAGUCAUAUCUUAUUAUGCAUGUCUAUAUGGUAUCUAUUAAGUUCUUGAACUCACCCCGUUGAUUAUUCUUAUUUCAGGUUGAAGCCAUCAGGAGGUUCUAGCUGCUAGUCCCCUUGCCACAAGAAUUUUCGCUUUGGUCUUUUGGUUUCUAUUUAUUUGUUUAGAGUUAUGUUUUAGACUUGUUCUGGUUUUGGUACUCUAGAUUUUGUGUGUCUUGUCUUUGAGUAAUGUACUGGUUGGGUUUUGUUUGCUUGGUGAUUGUAUUUGGUAUGUUUUGCUAUGUCUUGCCGAACGGGCAGAAGAGGUAAGUUUAGAUGAUAUUUUUGUUUUCUUUUGUUUUGUGUUGAUAGCCGGAGGCUGUUUUAUUAUAA